rnacentral:rRNA from 1 species
ACUUAUUCUGGUCGAUACGCAAGUUUGCGAGUUUAUUCAGAACACGCCAGCCUUCCAUAACACACCAAUGUUGAUGGAAGCUGAAGAGAGAAUUGCUGAAUACGCUCCUGGAGCACGCGCCCCGGCGUAUCGACAAAUCAUCAACGCGAUAGAUAAUAUGACAGACGUUGAGCAGGAAAAAGUCGCGCAAUUUUUGUCACGUGAAGGAAUUCGCAAUUUCCUCGCCCGUCUCGAUAUUGACGAAUCAGCAUA